rnacentral:misc_RNA from 1 species
GAUGAAGAACGUAGCAAAAUGCGAUACUUGGUGUGAAUUGCAGAAUCCCGUGAACCAUCGAGUUUUUGAACGCAAGUUGCGCCCGAAGCCUUUUGGCCGAGGGCACGUCUGCCUGGGCGUCACGCAUCGCGUCGCCCCCCACAAUUCUCUGUAAAGGGAACUCGUGUUUUGGGGGCGGAUAUUGGUCUCCCGUGCUCAUGACGUGGUUGGCCGAAAUAGGAGUCCCUUCGAUGGACGCACGAACUAGUGGUGGUCGUAAAAACCCUCGUCUUUUGUUUCGUGCUGUUAGUCGCAAGGGAAACUCUAAGAAAACCCCAACGUGUCGUCUUUUGACGGCGCUUCGACCGCGACCCCAGGUCAGGCGGGACUACCCGCUGAGUUUAAGCAUAUCAAUAAGCGGAGGA